rnacentral:rRNA from 1 species
UGGGGAAUUUUGGACAAUGGGCGAAAGCCUGAUCCAGCCAUGCCGCGUGAGUGAAGAAGGCCUUCGGGUUGUAAAGCUCUUUUAGUCGGAAAGAAAGAGUUGCAAUGAAUAAUUGUGAUUUAUGACGGUACCGACAGAAAAAGCACCGACUAACUACGUGCCAGCAGCCGCGGUAAUACGUAGGGUGCGAGCGUUAAUCGGAAUUACUGGGCGUAAAGGGUGCGCAGGCGGUCUUGCAAGUCAGAUGUGAAAGCCCCGGGCUUAACCUGGGAAUUGCGUUUGAAACUACAAGGCUAGAGUGCAGCAGAGGGUAGUGGAAUUCCAUGUGUAGCAGUGAAAUGCGUAGAGAUGUGGAAGAACACCGAUGGCGAAGGCAGCUCCCUGGGUUGACACUGACGCUCAUGCACGAAAGCGUGGGGAGCAAACA